CGCACACACACACGCACACACACACACACACACGCGCGCACACACGCACACGCGCCGGCGAGCCCGCUCCUCACUACUGCAUCCCCAAACCGGCAGAGCGAAGCUGCUGCGGUGUCUCGUAACCUCAGCAUCGUGGGGCGAAGCAGAGCCCUUGUGCGUCCGGGGGAGCCCGGCGCCCGCGCUGCGCCUCGGCUCCUCAACACAGCCGACCGCUCACCCCGUCGGCUGGAAUGCUCACUGAUUCCUCUGCAAACUUCUAAGGCUGAGACCCUGAGGAACCCAGCUGGAGAAUGCCGUCUGAACGCUGCCUCAGUAUUCAAGAAAUGCUGACAGGCCAGAGGCUCUGUCAUUCCGAAUCUCACAAUGUUAGCGUCCUGGCAGCGCUGAACCAGCAGAGGAGUGAUGGCAUCCUCUGCGACGUCACCCUGAUUGCUGAGGAACAGAAAUUCCAUGCUCACAAGGCAGUCCUGGCAGCGUGCAGCGACUAUUUUCGGGUAAGUCAGGUUGUUUGU